rnacentral:rRNA from 1 species
ACUGAAGACAGUAUUGGCUGGCUCUGGCUAUAGGCUGAAAAAAGCAACUCUCAACAACGGAUAUCUUGGCUCCCGUAACGAUGAAGAACGCAGCGAAAUGCGAUACGUAGUGUGAAUUGCAGAAUUCCGUGAACCAUCGAAUCUUUGAACGCAAAUUGCGCUCGAGGCCUCGGCCAAGAGCAUGUCUGCCUCAGCGUCGGCCUACCCUCAACCACGUUGGAUCUGGCCGUCCGGUUUCCAGGUUGCCGGUCAGCUGAAAUACAUUCACGCUCU